rnacentral:tRNA from 1 species
GGUCUCGUGGUGAAGUGGAAACACGGCUGUCUGCAAAACAGCUAUGCGAGGGUUCGAUUCCCUCCGAGACCU